AAAGUCGUAACAAGGUUUCCGUAGGUGAACCUGCGGAAGGAUCAUUACAGUGCCCGCGGUUUCGUGCCUAAACAGCGCGUUCCGCACCAGGCCACCCUUGUCUACCUUACCACUGUUGCUUCGGCGGGACCGCCCCCGAGACCUUUUGGUUUCCGGGGGCGACCCGGGGCUGGCUUAACCGCCGCCCGGGCGAGCGUCCGCCAGAAGACACCUAAAAUUCUGUUGAUCUGUGAACGUCUGAGUUGAUAUAUAAAUCAUUAAAACUUUCAACAACGGAUCUCUUGGUUCCA
rnacentral:misc_RNA from 1 species